rnacentral:lncRNA from 1 species
CGCGCCUGGGAGCAGCCACCCGUCCGGUGCAGCACACUGCGCCUGCAGGCGGCCCGCGGUGCGCACCGCCCCCGCCUUAGCACCCAUGGCCGGGGCAGGGCCGACACCUCCACGUCGCCGCUUACCUUCCCCAGCUAAGUGACGCGCCACCAGCCUGGAGCUCAGCGGACGCUAGUCGAAAGCCAGGGUCGCAUUCCCGAAAUGGUCUGGGGCCUCCUGGGCCCAACCCUCUCCCCUGCCCCCCUCCCCGGCCGCGAAGACCAAGUGCCGGAACGUCCCAGUGGCGCCCGCGGCCCAGGCGGCCUUACCUUUCGCUUCGUUAUCCGAGGUGGGUAGGAGCAGGAGGACAGCGGCCUGCCAACAGGUUGUUCCAGGCGAUAGGCGGCUUUGGGGUCGCCCCAGGAGUCCAGCUGCGAGAGACCAAUGGGAUUUGAAAAUGGCCUUGAUGAUUCAGACGGCCGUGACGUCAGCGGGGUCAAGUUGUCGGCAGGCGGAGCGCGCAGAGUGGAGUAACAGCGCCAUCUAGCAGCUGCCUCGGGGGAAUAUUCCGGGAAAGAAAGAGGGAACCUGCGGAGCCUCGGUCAGUUUGGAGGAGUCACGUAUCACACGGGAAACCAGCACACAAGACGCAACAAAACCCGACCCAGAGAAGCGUCCUUUACAGAGCGCACGGGCUGGGAGCAUGUUUGAAAGAAGACAGACCAGUCUAUUUUUGUGGUUGUUUUUAAAUAAAAGGAAGAAAUAAGGGGAACCGUAUGUUUCAAACAGUUAUUUCCGUUUCUCCAUCGCCUUCUUCCAAAGCGAACUAAACUCUCCACCCCUUCCUCAGGAAACGGAAUCUGGAGAACAACUUGUCUUUCCUGUCGCCCCACAUUUUUCCUUGGACAGAGCCUAGGGUUCAGACUUUCCGAAGGGCUGGAGUUUGGCGGGGAAAGGACUGGAGCCCAGCGCCCUGGAGUGGAGGAGUGAGGAGGCUAGACCGUUUCUAAGGAGGCCCAAGCCCGCUGCGGCUAGAAGACCGCAGAAAGAAAUCCGCCGAAUUUCCCCAUCCAGGGGUGGAGAGAGAAGACGCAGGGGUUCCUGAACCUCCGGAAAACUGGAAGGAAAUGUGGAGUGUAUGAUUUGCUUGCAGGACCGGCCAGGGGAGAUUUGAAAUGGUUUUGUGUUUUCAUAUGCAGGGUCACCGUGGCCUCAGCAUGGGGGUUAUCCAGGGCAAGGUUAGGCUGUUUAGGCCCCAGACUUGGGACAGUCCGGGCAGCAGUCAAUCCAGGGAGCCAUUUGUCCCACCGCCCAUCCCGCGGGAAACGGGCGAGACUUUAUGGCCACUCUGUUUGUAUUAUCUGCAUUAGUCUUUCCCCACCAGUUUGAUCGAAACCGUUCCCUUUUACGAGGACCCAACGAAAAUUUCCCGUCAUAUUUAUCAGCCAGGGAUAAAAAUUUAGUAUGGGAACUGAUAUUUCCUCAUUUAUGGGACGAUGAAAUUAAAUACCAAAGCAAUUGAGAAUUAUAUGGCUUUGGGGGUUCCCUCCCCCCUCUUUCACGUCUCCUUUAUUUUCCUGCCUGGUGUGCUUUUCCCAGGAAUUUAGCGUCCCAGUUCCCUACCCUUACCCCCCACUUUGGAGUCUGGUGGGUCCUUUUCCCCACGGCCAAGUGGCCCUUGGCCACCUCAGCCUUUUCUUUUUUUUUUUCUCUGGGUGUUAGUAGCUGGGGGCCAGGACAGUGCUACCCGAGCCUCUGCCCAGGCCAGCCAGGACAGGCUGGGAUCAGAGAAAGGUUUCCAGGGAAGAGCCGCAAAGGGUUUGAGCCCAGCCUGGGAGGGGGUGAAGGAGUCGGCAGGAAAGGGUGAAGGAGAUAAACUUCAGACAAGCCCCAAGGCGUAGCCUGGGGAACCAGCAGACAGGGAGCAGACCCAUCGGCCUCAGGGGUCCCACCACCCAACCUCUUUCCAAGCCCACCUCUCACCUUAGCCAAGGGAGAGGACAGAGUCGCUUCGGAAUUAUCGCCAUCAUUAAUGAAAAUAAUACUCCAGGGAGGAGCCUCCCGCCUCGACUCCCACCUCCUCACAAGACAGAAUAGUGUUUAAAGUUGAAAUAAUUAGAAGUAUGAUAAACACGGCCGAUUAAUGAAAAAAGAAAUCAAAUUCAUCAGCCUAAGUGGGACCCCCGGUGGGACAAAUGUUUGCCUCUAAUUACGCAAGAUAAACGAAAACCCGGUGCUGCUAAACUAGAGCCCGCUCGGACGCAGACCUGAAUAACUUGUUGGGUUUUCACAGACUUUGAGAUUCUGCUUCAGUGGAGGUAAAAGGAAGGAAAAAGUGAGUGUUUUAUCCUGGCGAAGGGAGCAUUUGUGCGGGCCUGGGUCCCAGCCCUGCCCCCUUGGGCUCGGUCUUUCCCGAGGCCACGAGCAAAGGCUGUUUCGGUCCUAUUGUCCGGGCCUGGCGUUCAAAGGCAUGCGGGCCGCCACAGCGACCCCGCCUGCCGCCACUGCCAGGCACCCACCGCCCUGCCCCACAGGGCCAAGAUCCUUCAGCCUGUGCCCUUGGCAACUGGAUUAGGAUCCAGGGGAGGCCUGUGUUGCUAGAAUCACCCACAUAUGGACUUUUAUUAAUCCAUUUCCCCAACUUUCCGAGGGCGCUGAGACACCUAUGCCUAUGCCUACGUCUGGGGCUCCCCCCUCUUACCUCAACUUGGGAACAUGAAAAUCCAGGGGCUGCAAGCCACAGUGGGGCUCAAGCUGUGCAUACGACCUGACAAAUCCCACCCAGGGCCAAUGCCCUGGCCCCUUUCUCCCUUCCCGGGUACCCAGAUCCUGGAAAGGCAACAAGGACGGGGCUGGGCCUCCUUCUGUCUGUGGGGCUGUGAGCAAUGCAGAGGAGGAGGGUUCAGGAGCUCUGUGAAUACUCUGGGAGGAUCCAGCGGGUUCCACAGGGCAGCCCAAGGGCUGGGGCGCUAGGGGUCCCCACGUGAAAGCAGAAGAAGGAAAAUAUGCUCAAUGAACAAAAAAGGACCUUUGUUGCUUUCUUGGCUGUAGCCCUCAACACACCCCAGAAGCACCCUGGUUUCUCCAGCAAAAAAUUGGAGUUUCCCCAACAGGUUAAGAAAGUCAACUGGGAAAUUCUGAAGAUGAAGUGAAAAAGGAAGAAUGUCUUUCCCUUUUGGGUUAAAUAAUAAAAUAAAAAUAAAGUGUGUGUAUUGAAAUCUUUUUAAGCAAAGAGGAAACAGAAUCACACCAGAGAUUGCAGGUUUUUUCCUCUUGCUUUGGAGGCCGAGAUAAAUCCUUCCCUUCCCAAAACUUGAAGAAAAGAUUCGCUUUUCUUCUUCACUAGCACCAGGCUCUGCCCCAGCUGAAUUGGGAGCAGGGAAAUUCCAGGCAAAAUUCGGAAUGCCCAGAGACCCAGAAAAGAAAAAGAUUUUCAAACAGGUACUAGAGGGAGGUAGGAGGCUGAGGACACUUAGCAGGGCCUCUGGUCUACUGUGGACCUCACAGCCCCCCAGGCAGCUCGGCCAGCAGAAUCUCUCACGUCUUGACAUUGCACACACUUGCACACAGAUGCUACGGAGUUCAGCAUCUAUACACGUGUCUAACUUGCACUUAAAUAUGUGUACACAGCCACAGAUAUUCACUUUUACCCAAAGUGCUGUCUAAGAUCUCCGAAUCCCGAAUUCUAAUAACCCGCGCCAGUCUGACUGCUUCCUGGCCCUGCCGAAGCUGGCCAGUUAUUUAAUUUUGUCCCCUGAAUUGAAACCAGACCGAAGACACCUCGGAGAGAAGCUUUGGGAGGAGGGUGGGAGGAUGUCUUAGGGGCAGGCCCUGCCCCCCACUUUAGUGGUUUGCUUCUAAGUUGCCCCCAGUAAGUCAGGUUUCUAGCUAGAGUCGGGGCUGUGGUUAGGCUGGCUUGCUCCGGAGAAAAACACCGAACCUUUCUUACCGGUUAAGUUCCUUUUCAAAGAUCUCUGUUUGCCUUCCUUUCCUUUCUUAUUUUUCUUUUUUUUUCUUCUCUUCUUUCUUUCCUUCUUGUUUCAUCCUUCUCUUUUCUCUUUAUUUGCUUCUUUCUGUUUUUCUUUUUCUUUUUUCUUCCUGUAAUUUAUUUUUUCCUACUUUUUCCAAUCCUUUCUCUUUCUUGUCUUCCUUAUUUCUCCCAUUUCCUUGUUUCCUUCUUUCUUUAUUAUACAAUUAAUUCUUUGCUCUUUUCUCUCUCCAAUUAUUUCCUUCCCCCUGACUUUCUUUCCUAGCCUUUCUUAUUUUUCUCUGGUGUGCUGGGCUUAGUGAGGGGGACAGCACCAGGCUCAGUCGCAUGCCUCCCUAGCCCAGCUGCUAAGGCUUGGAGUUGACCUUCUCCCGCCUACAGCCUUAGCUCAGCUCCUCCUCACAAGGCGAAGUGUAGGGCUGCCAGUCAUCAGCAGCCAGGCCCCAGCAGUCGCCAUUAGAGGGAGGAAAAAUAGGAUUCUGGGGCACAUCCACACUAGUGCUGAUGGCUUCUUGAAGUGCUAGGAUUCAGGGGUCAUGUAUUUUCACUUCCAUCACCCCAAAGGAGGCUUGUCUACCAGGCCUACCUUUGGAGAAGUCUGUCCCAUCUUUGUCCUGACCUCCGGAGCUGAAACAUUAAAAUGGCCCAAAGUUGAGCCCAGUUGGUGCUCCCAAGGCUGGAGUCAGGGGAAAUGAGCGAGUGGGAUUUUGUCAGUCCCAGGUUGAGGGGCAGGUCCAGGGGUCAUCCGUGGGCAAGGCCAUCUCCCACAUGGCCGCCUUUGUUCUCUGCUCCUGGACUGCAGCCCUGCUGGGCCCUCUGUCUCCUUUGGUCCUGCAACCACUGCAACCUCUGGGCAGGAGUUUCCUGGUAUUUUGGAUUCUUUCUUCAAACCCAUUGUCGACUUCACAGGCGGCAGGCAGGAAGGCAGGGCUAUGUGUGCAGAGACCCUCCCAAAUCAGCAGUCUGAGUCAAGGUUAUGGGUCUUUGCUUUGUGCAGUGGGUUGGAGGGGUGCGGUGCAGAGAGAUGUGUGUGUGUGUGUGUGUGUGUGUGUGUGUGUGUGUGUGUGUGUGGAGAGAGAGGGAGAGAGAGAGAGUAGUGCCUACAGGAGAACAAGAGGGUGUG